CCUACGGGAGGCAGCAGUGGGGAAUAUUGCACAAUGGGGGAAACCCUGAUGCAGCAACGUCGCGUGAGUGAAGAAGGAUCUCCGUAUGUAAAGCUUCAUCAGCAGGGAAGAAGAUGACGGUACGUGUGUAAGAAGCCCCGGCUAAAUACGUGCCAGCAGCCGCGGUAAUACGGAGGGGGCAAGCGUUAUACGGAUUUACUGGGGGUAAAGGGAGCGUAGUUGGUGAGACAAGUCUAAAGUGAAAGCCCGGGGCUCAACCCCGGGACUGCUUUGGAAACUGCCUGACUGGAGUGCUGGAGAGGCAUGCGGAAUUCCUGGUGUAGCGGUGAAAUGCGUAGAUAUUAGGAAGAACACCGGUGGCGAAGGCAGCAUGCUGGACAGUAACUGACGUUGAGGCUCGAAAGCGUGGGGAGCGAACAGGAUUAGAUACCCUUGUAGUC
rnacentral:rRNA from 1 species